rnacentral:rRNA from 1 species
UACGUAGGGGGCUAGCGUUGUCCGGAAUCAUUGGGCGUAAAGCGCGUGUAGGCGGUCCGGUAAGUCCGCUGUGAAAGUCGGGGGCUCAACCCUCGGAUGCCGGUGGAUACUGUCGGGCUUGAGUACGGAAGAGGCGAGUGGAAUUCCUGGUGUAGCGGUGAAAUGCGCAGAUAUCAGGAGGAACACCAAUGGCGAAGGCAGCUCACUGGGACGGUACUGACGCUGAGGCGCGAAAGCGUGGGGAGCAAACAGG